UCACAGCAGAGCUGAACCUCCCUCUGGAUCCCAUUUAUGGGUUUUAGAACUGGCUUCAUCCCCAUCACUGUGGAGAAACCAACCAUCCCAGGUAACCAUUAGCGCUCCAUGGACCGCGAUUUUCAUUUCCCAUUGGCUUUGAAUAACUCAGCCGGGGACUAAAACUGAAAGGACUUGCAUUAAAGACAGACUGAUGGGAAUGCUGUUGUGGCAAGAGGAGAGGACAAGAUUGCCCACUGGAUGAGGAAUUAUGGAGCAGUCCUCAAGGAAACCCCAGCAAUCAGACCGAUCCAGCAGAGGCAGAGGGAUGUAACAGCCUCAGGAUGAUGCGACAACUGGCACAGGAACAGCUGAUGUCCAGGUGAGAAGGAGGGAAGAGGACUUUGGGAAAUUGCACCUUUUUUUCUGGGAUCAUGGGUCACUGGGGUUAGUAAAUCAACCAGGGCCAUCAGUGAUAGCUGAUGUCACCUGAGAGCUGCUUCAGGAGACAGUAAGUCCAUUGGAAGUCUCUUGUGGCCAUCAGAUGGCUUUGAGUCAGAGCCCAAGGUCAAUCUUAGCUUAAAUUUACCUGGCAGUGCAAUUUGUCCUGAUGUGAAUAACUGGACUCAAUAACAAAUGCUUGGCUGCCGUGGACCACCUCACCGCCUAAAUUAACUUGCUCAGCUGGACAUUCAAAUAAAGCUGUUUUAAGAAUGCA
rnacentral:lncRNA from 1 species